rnacentral:rRNA from 1 species
GAUGAACGCUGGCGGCGUGCCUAAUACAUGCAAGUCGAACGAAACUUCUUUAUCACCGAGUGCUUGCACUCACCGAUAAAGAGUUGAGUGGCGAACGGGUGAGUAACACGUGGGCAACCUGCCCAAAAGAGGGGGAUAACACUUGGAAACAGGUGCUAAUACCGCAUAACCAUAGUUACCGCAUGGUAACUAUGUAAAAGGUGGCUAUACUACCGCUUUUGGAUGGGCCCGCGGCGCAUUAGCUAGUUGGUAGGGUAAAGGCUUACCAAGGCAAUGAUGCGUAGCCGAAUUGAGAGGUUGAUCGGCCACAUUGGGACUGAGACUCGGCCCAAACUCCUACGGGAGGCAGCAGUAGGGAAUCUUCCACAGUGGGCGAAAGCCUGAUGGAGCAACGCCGCGUGGGUGAAGAAGGUCUUCGGAUCGUAAAACCCUGUUGUUAGAGAAGAAAGUGCGUGAGAGUAACUGUUCACGUUUCGACGGUAUCUAACCAGAAAGCCACUGCUAACUACGUG